rnacentral:RNase_P_RNA from 1 species
UGUGUGGGCGGUCUGGCCGCGACGCGCGCACGGCGCCGGCCGUCCUGGCGCCCCGCGAGGGGCGCGCCACAGGCACCGGCGCGCACGCGCAUCGAGGAAAGUCCGGGCACCGUAGGGCAGGGUGCCAGCUAACGGCUGGGCGCGUAAGGCGACGGCAAGUGCAACAGAGAGCAGACCGCGGGCGCCCGCCAGGUGGCGGGGGCACGUAAGGGUGAAAGGGUGCGGUAAGAGCGCACCAGUGCCCCUGGUAACAGGGGCAGCUAGGUAAACCCCACCCGGUGCAAGGUCCGAUAGGGAGAGAGAGCCUGCCCGGCUCGUCAACAUCUCCGGGUUGACCGCUAGAGGCGCGCGGCGACGCGCGUCCGAGAUAGAUGGCCAGACGUCCUCCCUCGCGGGAGGGCCGACAGAACCCGGCUUACCAGCCCACCAGCGU